UACGAAGGGGGCUAGCGUUGCUCGGAAUUACUGGGCGUAAAGGGCGCGUAGGCGGAUAGUUUAGUCAGAGGUGAAAGCCCAGGGCUCAACCUUGGAACUGCCUUUGAUACUGGCUAUCUUGAGUAUGGGAGAGGUGAGUGGAACUCCGAGUGUAGAGGUGAAAUUCGUAGAUAUUCGCAAGAACACCAGUGGCGAAGGCGGCUCACUGGCCCGGUACUGACGCUGAGGUGCGAAAGCGUGGGGAGCAAACAGG
rnacentral:rRNA from 1 species